UGACCUACGGGAGGCAGCAGUGAGGAAUAUUGGUCAAUGGUCGGGAGACUGAACCAGCCAAGCCGCGUGAGGGAUGAAGGUACAGAGUAUCGUAAACCUCUUUUGUCAGGGAACAAAGGCGGGGACGUGUCCCCGGAUGAGUGUACCUGAAGAAAAAGCAUCGGCUAACUCCGUGCCAGCAGCCGCGGCAAUACGGAGGAUUCAAGCGUUAUCCGGAUUUAUUGGGUUUAAAGGGUACGUAGGCGGUCG
rnacentral:rRNA from 1 species